rnacentral:lncRNA from 1 species
AAAUGAUGUGAUAUAUAUAUUAAAAAAUUAAUAACUUAAAAAAUAAAAUUUUUGUUUCCUUAACAAGGCAGUAGCAGCCUUAGCCUGAGCCUGUGGGUUUUGUUUUCGUUGUCUUCUCCAUUGGACUAUCCCCCCACUAACCCAGUUUAUUCAUUCUUUCUCUUACACUGCACAUCGAGUUGAUUAUUCAUUUUUUAUGUAGUAUUUAAUCAUAAUAUAUAGACUAACUUAUACAUGUGUGUGUUUAGUUUAUUUUCAGUCUUGUUUUUCCCUUCUCUAAGAGUAGAAAUGCUUUUAGAAAAGUUUAAAUCGCUUUUAAAUAAUCAAAAGUACUUUUAUUAAUGUCAUACAUAAAUAAUUAGAGGUGUUUAAAAAUCCUAACGGUGUUGUUUGAUGCUCACACGAGCAUUCGAAAUUUUGAUUAAAUUUUAUGUGCAAAAAUACUUCUAUUCAAGCAACUUAUAGUGUAAAAAUUCUAUGAUAAUUCGAAGUACAGACCAAAGAAUUUCCCUCACACUGAACUAGUUAAAAAACCAAAUGAACACAAAUUAAUCAUGCGCUUCCCUAAGUUAGUCAAAUUUGUAUUGUUUAUAGCUUGAAGGUUUAAAGAGAUUAAGAUUUUUUAAAGAAAAACUAAUAAUAAUGGGUUAAAAACUUU